UUGGAGGGCAAGUCUGGUGCCAGCAGCCGCGGUAAUUCCAGCUCCAGUAGCGUAUAUUAAAGUUGUUGCAGUUAAAAAGCUCGUAGUUGAAUUUCGGGAUUGACACGUCGGUCGUGCCUUAAGGGGUAUGAACUGGCGUAGUCAAUUUCUCACCUUCUGGAGAACCGCGAUGUCCUUAAUUGGGUGCCGCGAGGAACCAGGACCUUUACUUUGAAAAAAUUAGAGUGUUUAAAGCAGGCAUUUUGCUUGAAUACAUUAGCAUGGAAUAAUAAAAUAGGACGGCAUGAUUCUAUUUUGUUGGUUUCUAGGAUCACCGUAAUGAUUAAUAGGGAUAGUUGGGGGCAUUAGUAUUCAAUUGUCAGAGGUGAAAUUCUUGGAUUUAUUGAAGACUAACUACUGCGAAAGCAUUUGCCAAGGAUGUUUUCAUUAAUCAAGAACGAAAGUUAGGGGAUCGAAGACGAUCGGAUACCGUCGUAGUCUUAACCAUAAACUAUGCCGACUAGGAAUCAGACGAUGUUAAUUUUUUAAUGACUCGUUUGGCACCUUACGGGAAACCAAAGUGUUUGGGUUC
rnacentral:rRNA from 1 species